rnacentral:rRNA from 1 species
UACAGGGGGGGCAAGCGUUGUUCGGAAUUACUGGGCGUAAAGGGCUCGUAGGUGGCCAACUAAGUCAGACGUGAAAUCCCUCAGCUUAACUGGGGAACUGCGUCUGAUACUGGAUGGCUUGAGUUUGGGAGAGGGAUGCGGAAUUCCAGGUGUAGCGGUGAAAUGCGUAGAUAUCGGGAGGAACACCGGUGGCGAAGGCGGCAUCCUGGACCAACACUGACACUGAGGAGCGAAAGCCAGGGGAGCAAACGGG